rnacentral:rRNA from 1 species
UGGGGAAUCUUCCGCAAUGGACGAAAGUCUGACGGAGCAACGCCGCGUGAGUGAUGAAGGCCUUCGGGUUGUAAACUCUGUUGUCAGGGACGAACGUGCCGAUCUACAAUACAUUUCGGCAGUGACGGUACCUGACGAGGAAGCCACGGCUAACUACGUGCCAGCAGCCGCGGUAAUACGUAGGUGGCAAGCGUUGUCCGGAAUUAUUGGGCGUAAAGAGCAUGUAGGCGGGCUUUUAAGUCCGACGUGAAAAUGCGGGGCUUAACCCCGUAUGG